rnacentral:rRNA from 1 species
UUCGAUUAGCCAUGCGAGUAGAAAGAAAUUAGAUUCUUUGCAUACUGCUCCAGUAACACGUGGAUAACCUGCCCUACAUGGGGGAUAAUCUCGGGAAACUGAGCAUAAUACCCCCAUAGACCACUACGCCUGGAACGGUGAGUGGUUGAAAGCUCAGGCGGCGUAGGAUGGGUCUGCGGCGUAUCAGGUCGUAGGGGGUGUAAUGGACCUCCUAGCCAUCGACGCGUACGGGUUGUGGGAGCAAUAGCCCGGAGACGGAUUCUGAGACACGAAUCCGGACCCUACGGGGUGCAGCAGGCGCGAAAACUUCACACUGCAGGAAACUGUGAUGAGGGAACUCCAAGUGACUGCACAAUGUGUAGCCUUUUCUUGAAUCUUAAUAGUUCUUGGAAUAAGGGCUGGGAAAGACCGGUGCCAGCCGCCGCGGUAAUACCGGCAGCUCAAGUGGUCGUCGCUUUUAUUGGGCCUAAAACGUCCGUAGCCUGUUUGGUAAAUCUGUGGGUAAAUCAACGAGCUUAACUCGUUGAAUUCUGCAGAGACUGCCAGACUAGGGACCGGGAGAGGUAUGAGGUACUCUGGGGGUAGGGGUAAAAUCCUGUCAUCCUCAGAGGACCACCUGUUGCGAAGGCGUCAUACUGGAACGGAUCCGACGGUCAGGGACGAAGCCUAGGGGCACGAACCGGAUUAGAUACCCGGGUAGUCCUAGGUGUAAACGCUGUGGAUUUGGUGUGUGGGGUCCGCAAUGGGCCCCAUGUGCCGGAGUGAAGAUGUUAAAUCCACUGCCUGGGGAGUACGGUCGCAAGGCUGAAACUUAAAGGAAUUGGCGGGGGAGCACUGCAACGGGAGGAGCGUGCGGUUUAAUUGG